UUUUAAACCCGACAGGAGCGGCACCCUUUUUUGCCAGAAUAUCAUCAAUGUUAAAAGAAUAAUCACAAAAAAGGUAAAGCAUAUGGCGGGACUGUUG
rnacentral:sRNA from 1 species